UACGGGAGGCAGCAGUGGGGAAUAUUGCACAAUGGGCGAAAGCCUGAUGCAGCUAUGCCGCGUGUAUGAAGAAGGCCUUAGGGUUGUAAAGUACUUUCAUCGGGGAGGAAAAACAAAACUAAUAAUUUUAUUUCUUGACGUUACCCGAAAAAGAAGCACCGGCUAACUCCGUGCCAGCAGCCGCGGUAAUACGGAGGGUGCUAGCGUUAAUCAGAAUUACUGGGCGUAAAGAGCACGUAGGUGGUUUUUUUAAGUCAGAUGUGAAAUCCCUGGGCUUAACUUAGGAACUGCAUUUUGAAACUGAAAUACUAGAGUAUCGUAGAGGGAGGUAGAAUUCUAGGUGUAGCGGUGAAAUGCGUAGAUAUCUGGAGGAAUACCUGUGGCGAAAGCGGCCUCCUAAACGAAUACUGACACUGAGGUGCGAAAGCGUGGGGAGCAAACAGGGAUUAGAUACC
rnacentral:rRNA from 1 species